rnacentral:rRNA from 1 species
UUUAACGGAGAGUUUGAUCCUGGCUCAGGACGAACGCUGGCGGCGUGCCUAAUACAUGCAAGUCGAGCGGACUUGAUGGAGUGCUUGCACUCCUGAUGGU